AGAGGAAGUAAAAGUCGUAACAAGGUCUCCGUAGGUGAACCUGCGGAGGGAUCAUUACACAAAUAUGAAGGCAGACUGGGCGCCCUCUAGGGGGCCCCUUCUGACGCCAUAUUCACCCAUGUCUUUUGCGUACUACUUGUUUCCUUGGCGGGUUCGCCCGCCAAUUGGACCCCAUUUAAACCUUUUUUUAUUGUAAUUGCAAUCAGCGUCAGCAAAAUAAUGUAAUAAAUUACAACUUUCAACAACGGAUCUCUUGGUUCUGGCAUCGAUGAAGAACGCAGCGAAAUGCGAUAAGUAGUGUGAAUUGCAGAAUUCAGUGAAUCAUCGAAUCUUUGAACGCACAUUGCGCCCUUUGGUAUUCCAAAGGGCAUGCCUGUUCGAGCGUCAUUUGUACCCUCAAGCUUUGCUUGGUGUUGGGCGUUUUUGUCUUGGGUUCGCCCGAGACUCGCCUUAAAAUCAUUGGCAGCCGGCCUACUGGUUUCGGAGCGCAGCACAUUUUUGCGCUUUGUCCAGUUGCGGUCCGCGUCCAUGAAGCGAACAUCUUCCACGUUUGACCUCGGAUCAGGUAGGGAUACCCGCUGAACUUAAGCAUA
rnacentral:rRNA from 1 species